GAUGAACGCUGGCGGCGUGCCUAAUACAUGCAAGUCGAGCGAACAGACGAGGAGCUUGCUCCUUUGACGUUAGCGGCGGACGGGUGAGUAACACGUGGGUAACCUACCUAUAAGACUGGGAUAACUUCGGGAAACCGGAGCUAAUACCGGAUAAUAUUUCGAACCGCAUGGUUCGAUAGUGAAAGAUGGCUCUGCUAUCACUUAUAGAUGGACCUGCGCCGUAUUAGCUAGUUGGUAAGGUAACGGCUUACCAAGGCAACGAUACGUAGCCGACCUGAGAGGGUGAUAGGCCACACUGGAACUGAGACACGGUCAAGACUCCUACGGGAGGCAGCAGUAGGGAAUCUUCCGCAAUGGGCGAAAGCCUGACGGAGCAACGCCGCGUGAGUGAUGAAGGUCUUCGGAUCGUAAAACUCUGUUAUUAGGGAAGAACAAACGUGUAAGUAACUGUGCACGUCUUGACGGUACCUAAUCAGAAAGCCACGGCUAACUACGUG
rnacentral:rRNA from 1 species